rnacentral:rRNA from 1 species
CUGCUGCCUUCCGUAGGAGUUUGGGCCGUGUCUCAGUCCCAAUGUGGCCGAUCAACCUCUCAGUUCGGCUACGCAUCAUUGCCUUGGUAAGCCUUUACCCCACCAACUAGCUAAUGCGCCGCGGGCCCAUCCAAAAGCGGUAGCAUAGCCACCUUUUACAUAGUUACCAUGCGGUAACUAUGGUUAUGCGGUAUUAGCACCUGUUUCCAAGUGUUAUCCCCCUCUUUUGGGCAGGUUGCCCACGUGUUACUCACCCGUUCGCCA